UACGAAGGGGGCUAGCGUUGCUCGGAUUGACUGGGCGUAAAGGGCGCGUAGGCGGUUCGUACAGUCAGACGUGAAAUUCCUGGGCUCAACCUGGGGGCUGCGUUUGAUACGUGCGGACUUGAGUGCGGAAGAGGGUCGUGGAAUUCCCAGUGUAGAGGUGAAAUUCGUAGAUAUUGGGAAGAACACCGGUGGCGAAGGCGGCUCACUGGCUCAUUACUGAGCUCAGGCGCGACAGCGUGGGGAUCAAACAGG
rnacentral:rRNA from 1 species